GCGAUCCCAGGUCAGGCGGGGCUACCCGCUGAGUUUAAGCAUAUCAAUAAGCGGAGGAAAAGAAACUAACGAGGAUUCCCUUAGUAGCGGCGAGCGAACCGGGAGGAGCCCAGCAUGAAAAUCGUUCGCCGUCGGCGGCCGAAUUGUAGUCUGGAGAAGCGUCCUCAGUGACGGACCGGACCCAAGUUCACUGGAAGGUGGCGCCGGAGAGGGUGAGAGCCCCGUCGUGCCCGGACCC
rnacentral:rRNA from 12 species